UACGUAGGCAGCAAGCGUUGUUCGGAGUUACUGGGCGUAAAGAGUGCGUAGGCGGUCCUGUAAGUUUGGUGUGAAAUCUCCCGGCUCAACUGGGAGGGUGCGCCGAAGACUGCAGGGCUUGAGUAUGGGAGAGGUAAGCGGAAUUCCUGGUGUAGCGGUGAAAUGCGUAGAUAUCAGGAGGAACACCGGUGGCGAAGGCGGCAUCCUGGACCGACAUUGACGCUGAGGCGCGAAAGCCAGGGGAGCAAACAGG
rnacentral:rRNA from 1 species